rnacentral:ncRNA from 2 species
UAUUUGCAUCCGAAUUAAGGUUGCGUUUUACUGUUUUUAGAAAACGCAUUAAAAGGGAAUUAGGUUCAAAACCUAAGCUGUACCCGCAACUGUAAGCUAUCAAGCUUGUUGUUAUCUACAAAGCCACUGUUUUUAAAGUGGGAAAUUAGAAAUUAGAAAUAGAAGUAUAGCUUCUGACCUCUAACUUCUAACUUCUACCUUGGAAUGGGAAGGUCAACAACAAGACGCAAGCCAGGAGACCUGCCUUUUUUCUUAACCAAUA